AGAAAAAGAAAUUUUCAGAUGGAUGAAAACAGAUUUUAUCAACAGUAGAACCUAGACUAAAAUAAUAGCUAAGGAGGAAUUUUAGAAUAUUAAAAACUUACCUUGCUGCCAAGAUCACAUCACUGGGAAUUCCUCAACUUUCCUUUUGUUAAUGAAAGAAUAUAUCACAAAAGCACUCCAUCUCCCAACCCAUUUCAUUUCACUUUCUCUCUUAUGCCCACAUUCAAAAGUAACUCCUGUCCAUAACAUGACACAGGUCAUCUGUAUAAACAGGAGUACCCAGGGUCUGUUCCUGGUCAGCCACCCUGAUUUCUACCCUGCAAUUAACCACAAGGACGUGAAUGUACAGCCCUGAGAAGAGAGCCAACCAGAGGGCCUGCCAUCGGGUGAUUUUAGACACUGAACAUUGGCACAGCAAUUAAAUUCAGCCAGCCGGAGAAGCAAUAAAAUAUAUAGAUCCAGAUUACUGGUCAUCUAUUUCAGAUGCAUGGCUCUGGUUACACAAUGAAAACCCAGAAGCCACGGAUCACAGCAGAGGUUGCUAUAGUCAAUCUAGUUACCAACUCACAGACGUACAGCUGAGAGUCAUUUAGUAGCCAGCUCUUGCCCAAGGUCACAGAAGUCAUUAAUGUCUGACUCAGAACAAACACCAAGGAUUCCUCACAUGAGUCCAGGAUUCUCUCCAACUAAUUUUUCCCAUCAUCAUUUACCCCCCUGUACCCUCUUUCACCUCCACCCCUGCC